AUGCGUACGUCACCCCCAGCUCCUGCCCAGCGGGGCCGGGUCCCUCGGCUUAAUGGCAGUAAAGGCUUGGGCAACCGGGGCAUUUCCGAAUUGCCCGAGCUCUCCGCGCUCCCCGGCGCUCUCCGCACCCCGUCGUUUCCCUGCUUGGCAGCUGGGUUUGCGGAAGCGUUUUUGCACCGAGGGAGCUUCUCGCAUUGCAUUGGUUUGCACUGGUGCUCCAAGACCGGUGUUGGAGGCCGCUGCGUCCUGCGGGAAGCUGUGCAGAGCGUCAGUCCCGGGUGCCRGCUCCUCCGAAGUGCCAGCCGCGGUGGUCCGUGGUUAUCCGUGCGGCAAGCGCGGGGCGGCCGCGUUGGCCUCAGAUGCCACGACCAAGCAACCUGCUGCCUAGGCUCGGCCUCUCCCGGGCUGCGGCCAGCGUCCGGCAGCCUCCCGGGGGCUUUCGCAGCCUCCCGCGCCGCUGCCCGUCGGUUUUCCCCAGCCACGGCCGGGCCACGUGGCCGAUGCACCACGCGCUGCGGAUCUAGCGGCAACGUUGCAGCAAAGGCAGCCCAAGGAAAGGCUCCGCGUCCCCAGCGAGCGCUGCGCGGCAGCGACCGUGCCGAAGGCGACCGCGGCAGCUUUCCGCCGCCGGCUCCCUCCCCUGCCCUGCGCCGGGCACGCUCAGCCCGRCCCCAGCGCGUCCUUGCUGUGCGAGAGGGGGCAGAGGAGCCRGCAGGAGGAUUGCAUCAGCCAGCGCAGCUGCUUCCCGGCUCCCUCCCGGUGCUGGGGAGAGGCAGCCCCUUCCCUGGGAGUCAGGGGCUGCGCUCGGCCCCGCAGCUCCGGGGCGGCYGGGCACCUCUCGGAAGCGGCCCCUUCCCCGGGGCAGGGACAGGGAGCCCGGCACGAGCUGCAGGCAGCUCAGCUCCCUCCGCCGAGGGCCCAGCUGCGCCGCCCCGGGGCUUUUAUACCCAGCUGCGGCUCCCAGCAGGGCCCGGCUCUGCCUGCGGAGUUAUUCCGGAUCCCAAAGCCUGGUGUGAGCAGGGCAGGGAGGCAGCAGCCAGGGUCAGGGAGGGAGGCGGCAGUGGGAAAGGGACCCGGGGGGAGCCCCGGAGCAAGCCCCAGUGCUGGUACCCGUGUGCGCCCCGGCUGCUUCCCCCCGGCCAUGGAAGCCAGGAGCGAGGAGCUGGUGCAAAUGCCGGAGCCCUGCUGGGCAGCCCUGCGGCGCCCUGGGUUCCUCCCCUGGUGCCGGGGGAGCCUGCGGUGGCAGCUCCUGGGGGCACGGGAUGCAGGGCAAAACCGGGAUGUCUCCGCCUGGGUGGGRAG
rnacentral:lncRNA from 1 species